AACGAACGCUGGCGGCGUGGAUAAGACAUGCAAGUCGAACGGGACAGGUAGCAAUAUCUGUCUAGUGGCGAACGGGUGCGUAACACGUGGGCAACAUGCCUGGAAGAGCGGGAUAGCCCGGGGAAACUCGGAUUAAUACCGCAUGUGACAACGGGGCGGCUUCGCCCUGUUUUCAAAGGUGGGGACCGUAAGGCCUGCCGCUUCCAGAUUGGCCCGCGGCCUAUCAGCUAGUUGGCGAGGUAAAAGCUCACCAAGGCGACGACGGGUAGCUGGUCUGAGAGGGCGACCAGCCACCCUGGAACUGAGACACGGUCCAGACACCUACGGUUGGCAGCAGUCGAGAAUCUUUCACAAUGGGGGAAACCCUGAUGGAGCGACGCCGCGCGGAGGAUGAAGGUGUUCGGAUUGUAAACUCCUGUCAUGAAAGAACAAGCGAUGCGGGUAAACAGCCCGCAAAGUUGAUAGUAAUUCAAGAGGAAGGGACGGCUAACUUCGUGCCAGCAGCCGCCGCGGUAA
rnacentral:rRNA from 1 species